CCUACGGGGUGCAGCAGUGGGGAAUAUUGCACAAUGGGGGAAACCCUGAUGCAGCGACGCCGCGUGAGUGAAGAAGUAUUUCGGUAUGUAAAGCUCUAUCAGCAGGGAAGAAAAUGACGGUACCGGAUUAAGAAGCCCCGGCUAACUACGAGCCAGCAGCCGCGGUAAUACGUAGGGGGCAAGCGUUAUCCGGAUUUACUGGGUGUAAAGGGAGCGUAGACGGCAGCACAAGUCUGGCGUGAAAGGCCAGGGCUUAACCCCGUAAUUGCUUUUGAAACUGUGCAGCUAGUGUGCAGGAGAGGUAAGUGGAUUUCCUAGUGUAGCGGUGAAAUGCGUAGAUAUUAGGAGGAACACCAGUGGCGAAGGCGGCUUACUGGACCGUAACUGACGUUGAGGCUCGAAAGCGUGGGGAGCAAACAGGAUUAGAUACCCUGGUAGUC
rnacentral:rRNA from 1 species